rnacentral:tRNA from 1 species
ACGCUCUUAGCUCAGUUGGAUAGAGCAUCAGCCUUCUAAGCUGAGGGUCAUAGGUUCGACCCCUAUAGAGCGUA